UACAGAGGUCUCAAGCGUUGUUCGGAUUCAUUGGGCGUAAAGCGCGCGUAGGCGGUUACUUAAGUCGGAUGUGAAAUCUCGGAGCUUAACUUCGAAACUGCAUUCGAUACUGCCGUGCUUGAGGACUGGAGAGGAGACUGGAAUUUACGGUGUAGCGGUGAAAUGCGUAGAUAUCGUAAGGAAGACCAGUGGCGAAGGCGGGUCUCUGGACAGUUCCUGACGCUGAGGCACGAAGGUCAGGGGAGCAAACGGGG
rnacentral:rRNA from 1 species